UCAUUUGAACAGAAGAAUAAUUAUUUGCAUCUUUAUUCUCGUAUACGAUCCUGUUCCUACGUACCGUACCGAUGAAUAGCAGAAAAGAUGUGUAUACAGAUCGGAUCGGUGACAGAGCAAAUAUAGAUAACAUUUUUUCCUAUUCUUUUAUAUAAUGUAACAAUGUUUGAGAA